GGCAAGGGGGGGAGGGGGACGUGUAGCAGCUCUCACAGGGCCCCAUUCUCCCCUCCCUGGUGGAGCAGCAGAGGAAAUGGAGAGAGAGCUCCUGGCCAGGAGUGGGGAAAGCAGCCCUUUGGGGCAUGCAGACCUCUGGGCUAGUCCUGAACCCUCCAGCUCCUUCGGGUGCACCUAUGCAGCCCGCAGCAGGGAGCCUCUGUCCCUAGACUUGGGCUCGUGGAGCUCGGGCUCCCAUGUUAAAAAUUGCUGUGUAGAUGCUGCUGCCAGGUGUUCAGGCGCUGACCCCACCCUCCCCCAGGCCUGAGAGCCUGAGCCACGUGGUCAGCACAGUUGGUUUAACACGGCAGCCCGAGUCUGUCGUCCCAGGCUCAGGGCCUUGCUGCUGCAGGCUCUCUGGCCAUCCCCGCAGAGGCCGAAGAGUUCUGCAGGAGGGCGGCUGCUAAGGAGAGUGGGGCUGGAGCAUGGGCUGCUAAUGCAGAGCAAUGACGUUACGGCAAGGUGGGCAGGGGCCCUGACUAUAAAUGGGGCUGGGAAGUAGAAAUAUACUGGUGGUGCUGGGAGGAAUCCAGGGCGUUGUUUAAGGCUUCGGAAUGGGAAAUGCACAGGCCCAGUUGCUCAGCUGGUGGCAGUGGCCAGGGUUCAUUGAGCUGAGUGGGAUGUUGGCCACUGACACCAGCUCAGGGGCUGGCCCAAGGUAUUUACUCUGUGAGCUAACACCCCAGUGGGGGAGGGGAGCCAUGGUGAGAGGGCCUGGAGGGUCCCAAGCCAGGAGGACCCACUGUGAUCAUCCAGUGGCCUCCUGUAUGAUGCCAGCCAUAAAUGGAGGCCUGGAGAGGUUGCUUUGUCACACAGGGAGUCUGGGGCAGAGCCAGGAACUGGACCUGCUCUCCUGGGUCUGCUGGCCAGGCGUACAGUCCAGCCAGGGCCUAAACCAGUAACCACGCUUGUCUCGUGACUCUUGGCUAGCAGAGGCCUGGGAUGGGUUUGAAGCAGUGACUGGGCAUUGAGGGUUACCACCUGGCUGGUAUUUGACCAGCUUAGCUGGGUUUUUUAUGGAUUUGCCAGUGGCCAGAAAAAUAAUUUAAUCUGCCGGGGAGAUGGGGGUGUUACAUGAGUCUGAAGAUUUGCAUUAUUACCACAAUACAGGGGGAUAGCUAAUGGUAAAAGCUGCUGUGUCCAGCUAACGAUGCUGCCGUGUUCCCACUGCCCCAUUCAAGUGAUAACAGAUCAAAACUGUUAAACAUACAGCAGCUGUCUGCCCACCAACAUGCAAUGUGAGAGAAAAGUUCCCUCCCCAGGACAAUGCCUCAUGGAGCUGCUGUCGCAAGGCGGUUGCAUUUGUGAUGGCCGAGCACUGCCCAUGGCUAGUCUAGGACACCUCGGGGCCCCUCCCACUGAGAGGAGGCACCUAACAAGCAAUGGCGGUGUUGCCAGUUCUGAAAUGCAUCCGUGCUGGGCUCCGGGGACAGAUCCAGGAGCAGAACGAACCCUUCUCCUCACCCAGCCAGCCCAUCACAGUCCACCUCGCUCUGCCCCCCUCGUCUCCUUCUCUGAGACGGAAGCUAGACCUUGCAGUCUGGCUUGAAGAGCUGCAGGCCUGGGGUGUCGACGCCGAGGCCCUCCCACUGGAACUGUUUCGGGGUGUGGGGGAGGGAGGGGAUUGAGUCACUUGAGCAGCCUCGCCUGCCCCUUGGACACAUUGACUCUCCUUCACUGGCAGCAGUGUGGAAGGCAGCUGCCCAAUGGGAUUGAAUCCGAGGGAUGCUUGCACAUGCAGACACAUCCAUGCUAGCUCACUAACAAUAGUGGCAAAGCUGCAACAGCCUAGGCAGUGGCAUGCAUGUGCUAGACAACCGGGUCCGUACCUAGUGUCUGGGGCGGGCCUGUACGUGGGCGGCUAGCCUGUCGCGCUGCUUGUGCUGGGGCGGCUGCACCACUAGCGUUAUUCAAGCAAGCGGUACCAAAGCUAACUCGGGUAUGUGCACACACGCUGCCCUCACACCGCGGAUUGUUCUGUAGCCCCACCCUGAGAGAUCACUGGGAGCAAAACCGCACCAGUCUCCAGGUCUCAGGCUGGGUUGCCUGGGAGCCAGGAAUGCCGGAUAUUGGCCAAGAUGCAUUGGCACAACCUUCUCAAUGACCUUCCCUCAAAACAGUGAGUUGAGACAGGACCAUAGAGGGUGAGAUCGUCCAUCUCACAGGUGGUUUUCUAUGCCGAGGCCUGACCAUUGCUUGAAAAGAGGCUGUCCCCUGACAUCCCAUCGCACAGCAUUGGCAAUCUCCUCCAGGACCAGACCCACUUCCUUUCUACUGGCCUUUCCCAGGCACUGAGGAAAUUGAGCCAAUUCCCAGGCUGCAGCUCAAAGCUCCCUCAGCGUCUCCAGAGCUCAGUGCGUGAGUCCAGCUGCAACUCAUACCGGGAAGACUCGGUGUUUGUUUGCCCCCCUCUACCCCAGGGAAUACUGCUGCCACAGAGACAGAGCUUGAUCAGGAUCCAAGUGAUCUCUUUUGAGGUCACUUGGACACUCACGACAUGACCUGUAAGCAGCUGGAGGCAGCCUAGGUUGCUCACUCCUGGCAGGGUCUGUCCACAGCUGCUUGGCAGAUGCUGCGUUGGAGGCAAAGGACCCAUUUCACGCCUCCCGCUCAGCCAUGUGCCCAGUUUUCAGUGUCUAAGCCACAGGUGGCACAGGAGUUCCCCUGCUCUUGCCACCUCCCAUAGCAGCUGUUCCAGGCCAUCUGUCUGCUGCGCUAGCUUGAGAGGCUGAUGCCGGGGAAGAGGCUAAUUAGGGUCUAUCAUAGGGCUACACAACAGGGAAUGAUGUCAUCACCCAGGCAGCUGCACCAUGAUCUUCCCUGGCAUCUCCCACAGCCCAGCCAGGGCUGCUGCCCUAAGAGGGUGGAUGAUAGAAGGGUCUCCCCAGUGCCACCGGGAAACAUAUUCCUGGAGUCAGCCAGUUCCAGGCAGGGGUAACCCCCACCCAUCCAUUGCCCAGCCCAGCCCCUGAACCUCAUUCUGCACCUGGGCAGCUCUAGGAGCUGAAUGUGACAGAUGUGCGCUAGCAAGUUAGCCCCAAAGAAUCCUCAUCCGCACUCUCCUAGGUUUCCCAGGUCAGGGAUUUGCGGGGGCGGAGACUACCUGAAAUAAGCUGGAGGGAUUCCAUUGGUUUGUAAGUGUCUUUACCACAAGCCAUGCCCUUCAGCCAUGCCCAUGCAUGCACACACACACACAUGCAGCGCAGGGGAGCCUGGAACUGGAAACUGAACUAGAAGAAGACUGAGAGACACUGGCAGGGUAGUGAGGAAGUGUCUUUACUCCCGGACAGCUUCCCAAUGGCCCCCACAGGUGAGAUGAGUUGUCAGGCCUCGGUCUGGAUCCCUGUGUAACCACCUCACAAAUGCCAGCAACGUCUGGCUCGCUGACAACAGAGGUCACAGCCUAAAUUCUCAUCCUCUCCGGGGCAGGGCUGAGGGACCGGGUGAGCAGUAUGGAGGAAGCUUGUCCACCUGCUGCUCAUGUUAUCCGCUGAGCAGGGCCAGACAGGGGACUUUGCUCUCCAGAGCUCUAAUCACCCAAUUAACUGUACAGCUGCUAGUGAAAGAAAAGAACCCAACGACUUAGACACACCAGUAUUUUGCAAGCACUUGGCUACUGAUUUAUUGCAUUGACUAUUGGUUUACAAACAUGGCUACAGGAGAGGGCUACUGGCCAGCAAUUUAUCUAGGCUGGCUCCUGAUCAGUCUACAAGAGAUUUCAAACAGAGGCCACUGCAGCAGAACAGGCGACAAAGGCACAGCACCGCGGGAAAGCGUUCAGUCACGGUGCCAGUGCAGUGAACUCCCGCGGCUGACACGGCGUAUCUCACCCCCGGCUAGGACCAGAGACAUAUCAGCCAACUCUUUACAGUGUGCACUCUGCCUGCAGCAUAUAUACAAUCAGUGUCAAGGCAAAUUGUUAUGUAUACAUCACAGUCACUGUGCAAUAAAUUAAACAUCAAAGUG